rnacentral:ncRNA from 1 species
GCAAAGAUAAAAACACGAUUCGGUUGGUAGUCCGAAUGCGGCAGUAUUCUGCCGUCAGUAACCUGCCUCCUUGGUUGUCCGUUCUUUGUG